UACAGAGGGGGCAAGCGUUGUUCGGAAUUACUGGGCGUAAAGGGCGCGUAGGCAGCCUGUUAAGUCGAACGUGAAAUCCCCGGGCUCAACCCGGGAACUGCGUCCGAUACUGGCAGGCUUGAAUUCGGGAGAGGGAUGUGGAAUUCCAGGUGUAGCGGUGAAAUGCGUAGAUAUCUGGAGGAACACCGAUAGCGAAGGCAGCUCGCUGGGACGGUACUGACGCUGAGGCGCGAAAGCGUGGGGAGCGAACAGG
rnacentral:rRNA from 1 species